rnacentral:lncRNA from 1 species
GUGUUUAUCCCAGCCUGCGGCCCGGCCCAGCGUGGGUUUCCAUGGAAAACUUCCAUCGAAAACAAGGAGAAAAGGAGUUACAGCAGGAGUGACUCAGCCACAACUGGAAGCUUCUGCGGAUGAGGCAGAGAAGGGGGGGACUCUUCCCACCAGCUUGGUCCCAAUCGGGCAGUGGGGCCCAGGGACACCCCUGGACAUGUCCUGCAGCUCUCUCGUGCCCAAAUCCCAGCAUACUGCAGCUCACAAGAAGGUAGAUCAUAGGAACUAGACCUGGACCAGCAAAAGGCCAAAAGCUGCGUCUUUGUUCCCCAA